GUGGGUAUAGCUCAGUGGUAGAGCACAUGCUUAGCAUGCACGAGGUCCUAGGUUCAAUCCUCAGUAAACAUU
rnacentral:tRNA from 1 species